CUUUUGUGGCUACUUUUGGAUCAAAUCCCUUCAAUCCUAUGCUGUAUUAGUCCAACUUUACAUUAAUUGGAAGACUUUUUGCUUAUAUUCUAAUGAGUGAUUAGGAUGAUUAUUCAUUUCCUAUUGCAAAUGCAACCUAGCAUCGUUGACAAAAAGAGCAUAUAUAUGUUAUGGCAUUUUAUACUUACCUCGUGUUUUGGACAAAGUAUGUUAAGAAGUUUGACGAAUAAUUGGUACAUUUUCCAGCUUGCUGCUGAUCGAGGACUUGACCAGAGUGCAUAUUCUUUUCCUUUCCCUUGAACAUGAAGAGGAAAAGGAUGAGGAGGAGGGUGCUCAAAAGCACGCAACCAUUUCUCAGCUUAAUAAACAAAAGAAAAAGGGAAAGAAAAGUAAGAACCAAGAAAUGCACGUAGGUUGUAAAGUUAUUAUGACGAUGUCAAAUAUUCGCAAUGCGCGUUAACAUUCACAAUUUCAAGCAAGCAUUCGGGAAGGUUGGAAGAUGGCAGAGUCAGAGUCAGACUAAGACACAAUUCACCACUAAACUAAUCCGGUGUACCGGAAUUCUAACCUCGUAAUGCAACUCCGACCAUGAUAUAUACAUGCGCGAAAAAACAAAAAAGAAGAGGAGUUUUUAACCGAUGGAAGAAAACGAGUUAACAAAUCAUUUUAAAUGUGGUCGGCAGGCAAAAAUGACUGCAAGUAAAGACUAAAGAGAGCGCGUUGGAACACGGUCUGGAUUAGACCCAAGUACGAGAAAAUUUUGACGCCGACCGAAUCUUCAACGGAGGACCUCGACUUCUGUUUGGUGGUUUGUUUUCAAAGUUUGAUUGAGAAUGUGAAAGCAGAUAGAGAGAGAGAGAGAGAGAGAGAGUGUGUGUGUGUGUGUGUGGGAGGAGAAGGACAAUGACCAAUCCUGCUACUACAAGUCUAAUGGCGGUUUAGUGCUCCCUCCUACUACCCUGCUUUC
rnacentral:lncRNA from 1 species